rnacentral:sRNA from 1 species
GACCGCCGCCCACGGGCGGCCAAGGCCAGACGGACAGCCGGGUCGAAUGCCGA